GCGGAGAACUUUCUAGAGAAGCGGUUAAACGGGUUGGGGCUCUUGGACUGAGGGAGAAUGGGAAGGAACCCUUUCUUCUCAACCUGCUGCUCCUAAGAGAUGCCUAUGGAAUUCCAAGUCUAUGUGGCUAAAACUGUGAAGUUCUAAUUACUGAAACAGUGAUGCCUUGAUCUGCCGGCUUGAUGGAAGGAUCUGUCUGGAGAGGUCUUGACUCUGUCCAACAGGACAGCGCCACAGUUAUUCAGCCUGCACCUAUCAACGGAGCACCCAAUGUCAGCUGCAGAGCACUCAGCGCCAGCAGGGGAGCACUCAGCGCCAGCAGGGGAGCAUUCAGCGCCAGCAGGGGAGCACUAAGCGCCAGCUGGGGAGCACUCAGCGCCAGCAGGGGAACAUUCAGCGCCAGCAGGGGAGCAUUCAGAGCCAGCAGGGGAGCACUCAGCACCAGCAGGGGAGCACUCAGUGCCAGCAGGUGCCUGCAGACUGCUGGGACAAAGCAACCUAAGUUAUGAAUGACGUCACGGAAGAGAGAGGAACAAUGAAAACAAAAGAAAAGGAUUCUUCAGGGAAGAAACCGAAAUGGAAGCUAGAACGUGUGGGACAGAUUUUCCCAGAAUGCAAACAAAAAUACUGCUAAAGAUGAUGAAAACAAACAAACGAAGUGAGGAAGUGCCAUGCACGCAGCAGCCGCAUGGGAGGACCAGCCAGUUCUGCCCCUGGGCUGCAGCACUGAGCGCUGUCUUGUGUGCUCUGCAGGUUGGAAGUCUUGCUUGCCUUCAGGCUUUUCAGUCAGCAUGCAAAGCAAUGGGCUCCAUCGUUGCCUUUCCUGUAGAGAUGCUCUCACGGCACUCCCAUUUGUCCUUGUCCCCUGUUCUUUCCCACCCCUCCCCAUUCUGUUUGUCUUCUCCCUUUUCCCAAGUGGUCUCUCUCUGCUUUCAUCUCCUGUACACACAUUUAACACAUUUAAAUUCCACACGUGAGGAAACAUAGUAUUUGUUCAAGUCUGGCAUAUUUUGCUUAACAUGAUCUUUGGUUUGAACCUUUUUGUGUGGCUAAGUAGCAUUUCACUGUGCAUAUAUACCACAUUUUAAAACUCUUCUGUUGCUGCUGGACUCCUCUGCCUCUCCACAGUCAGUGUCUGUGAGGUGUGCAGCAGUGGGGCAAAAGCCCCGCCCGGUGCCCCUUCAUUAGACUUAGCGCUAGGUCUUUUGGUUUGCUGCUGCUUUAAAUGUCUCCAAAGAUCUGUUUACUGCUGGUACAAAAUAUGUUUUUUACGAGUUAGGCUCACAACCAAAAUGUCAAAAUGCGUCUUACUUGCUAUUUUCAUAACUAGACUUCCUGUGCAACCCUUAUUACUCUUUUUAUGUUUUGGAAGUGAGGUCUCACUGUGUAUCCCACUGUGGCCUCUCCCUGCUUUCCAAAUGCUUGGAUUAAAGGCCUCUGCUACCAUGGCCAUUGUUGGGUUUUUUUGUUUUUUUGUUUGUUUGUUUUUUUUUGUUUUUUGUUUUUUUCCAUUUCCAACUGGGCAGUUCAGUGGCUUUAAAUAUAAUGUAACAUUGUGCAACCACACAAUGUCGAUUUUGUUUUGGUUUUUUUGUUUGUUUGUUUGUUUUUGUUUUGUUACAGUCUCCUAAUGCCUAGGGUGGCCUUGACUGCUAUGUGGCCAAGGGUGACCUUGAACUUCUGAUUCCCCUGCUUCUACCUCCCAGCUUCCAGGAUUGUGCACCAUCAUAGUCCACUUCUCGUUUUGCUGUACGGUCUUGUGGAUCUCAAACCCAUAAUCCCCCUUCCUUCACCCCCCAAAGCUGGUAUUCUAAGCAGCCAUUACCACAAUGCUUGUUUUAAGCAACAAGUUUGUGAUAAUUUGUUGUACCUGUUGGAUGUCUGGUACUCAGCGUUCAGCAAAGGAUGUGGAGUGAGUUCUUGUGACUCUCAGUCCAUGUUGAUAAGUUCUACCAUAUUGUUCAAAGUGGAAGGGGACCAGGGGUUGUAAGUGCUGGGAACAGCAGGAGAAGGCCACCCCAGGAUGUACCUGAGCAUCUGUGCACAUCCAUGGAGGAGGCGUAGAUGGAUCCAGUCCCAGGAGUUGAAGGUGUGAGAAUCCUGAGGUAGAGGCUGCUGGAUUCUGGGAGCCAAGACACUGGCCUCAGAGACACUGAAGUUAUAUCUUGUGGCUGGAUGGGGAGGAAAGGAAACUGAGGAAGAUUUCCCUCCCCCCUUAAGCUCCUUCUCCUCAGUUGUGGUGGGCAAGCGAAUGGUCCUUCCUACCUAGUUCCAUGAGCCUCACUGAUUGUGUCAGUGGGAAUCUGGGAGGCCAAGGCCACCUUCUCCUUGAAUUCUCCAGCUCAUUUGAUUACCCAGUGUGUUCGCCACCCACCCCUAGGGCUGGUUCACUGAGACUAUAGGAAGAUGGCGUGGGUAAGUGUGUUAGUUUUAUCAAUAUCUUACCUUAUGCUGUAUCCUGAAAAGACAGGGACCUAGUGUUGGAGUGAAAUUGGGCUCAGGACUGUAGCACAAGAUUCCAGAAUACACUGCUGUGCAGAACCAGGGACAGUACACAGUUGUUCUCUAGAUCACCCCUGACCUGGUGGCACACUACCCGAUAGUGGGAUUAUGGGUAAUCCCCCCUGGGUGGUUACCCAUGUCUCUUUGCUUCAGAAUGUCUAACUGAGGCUUCAGGAGCAGGAUUCCAGGACGCCUCCAGCCCAGUGGGGACUUUACUAUUUUCUUCCCUUCUAUCUUCCUUUGGGAAGCUCCUCAAAAGUCUCUGAGGACUACUUCCCUGAUAGCUCCUCCUGACUUAAGAGUUCUUCUCUUCGCUGCGUAUGUCUGGUGUUCAGUGACUGCCAUUACAUUUCAGUUUAUCAUGGGGCCUCGUCUCACAUGUUCUUCAGUUGUUACAGAGUUAUGGGUGGGGCACAUGUUUUGCUUUUGAAUAAGAUUACCAACUUCUGGGCUCAAGUCAGAGAUGCCUGGGGCUUGGGACAGUUAGAAUCUGCUGCUAUGUGGAGCAAGCUUUCUGUGUGCUAUGGAGAGUUUCUGUGCGUAAGUGACCCAUAGGCAGGUGCUCCUCUGCUCCUCAUAUGCUCUCCCUUUAUUUAGCAAACAUCUUGUGUUUACUGAACUCCCGUGUGAGCGGUAAAGCAUUCAGAGAUGGCAGGUGGUCUCUCUGUCUUGGUUGUCUGGAGCAUUUAGUUGUUCAGGCACUUUCCCUGUCUCCCGUGCACUUCCUUGGAGUUUGGUUUCAAACCUAACUCAUUAGGCUAACUGAGAUGCCUAUUAACAUAUCAAAGCAGACUCUGUCGGCCAGGUUCUCCCAGCAUCCCUCAGUCCCUACCUGUUUGAGGCUCCUGGCUGGCAUAGCCCACCCUCUACCCUGAAUUCUCCAGCCCAGGUACCAAUCUGGGCUCCCCGCCUCCCAGCUCCUCUGGCCCCUGUAUAAAUCACCAAUUUUGGCUGACCUAUCUCUUGACUCCUGCUGCCCCCCUUGGUCUGCGGCUCCUGUCUUGCUCUCCCCCACCCUCCUUCACAUGGCCCAGCUCAGUCUGGCGUGUUCACUCUGGCCUCUCCCAGAUGUCUCCAUCUCUACCUGUUUUCUCCCUUAUAUCUAUAAAAAAUAUGUCAGCCCCUUAGGAGCAGUCAUGUUCUCCUUUUAUUUCUUUUUUUCAUUCAGUUCACAGAGGUGCCUCCCAUCCUAAGUGUCUCCCUAAUCCAUUGCCUCUGUUAGGUGUUAAGAUUUCCAGACAAUUAGACCUGCCCUAGGAGCUGAGGUAUUGCUUCUCCUCACCAGAAGGGGGCAUGUGAGAUCACAUGACUUGAUCAAGCUGGGAGAUCCUAAUUGUAAUCUCAAUUUUGGUCAAAGGCUAAAACCCCAGAAGACUAAAGACUCCCCAUCUUACCAGAGGGGGUGAGUUUAAAUAAAAAGUUGCUAGUGGUUAAGGUCGGGGUCUUAAUGUAUAAGCAGAAAUCACAGUGAACAGUGACUAUCUUCCUUGUUAAAGCAGUAGAGGCAGUAACAGUGACAACAGGGUAGAGAGACGAACAAGGAAAUUCAAAGUCUGAUCUUUUGUGGGCCACGGUCUCCAACAACUGCGGACACCCUAAACACAGGAAUGGUGAGCUGACAAAACCGGGGGGCCAGCCACUCGGCCCAACUUGUCUCCAACAGUUGAUCCAGUAACUGUGCCACAAGCCGAGAGAAAAGCCAAACAUUUCUAAAUGGCUCUCAGAUCUCUCUGCAGCUGCUGUUGUUUAGUCCAAAGGUAGAGACAGUGUGCAGGCUGACAGGUAGAGACAGGGAGGAUGGGCAGAACUUGAGUCUAGAAGGGCAGAGAGAUGCUCUCUGUUUUCACCUAAUUUUUGAGUUAGUUGCUUAGUGUGAUAGGUUUCCUCUUUCAAACUUGUCUUACAAAUAUAUUCAAUGUUUUGUUUUCAAAAGAACAAAACCAAGAACAUUCAGUCUUUCUCUGCCACUGACUACCCCUAUUUUUCUUCUCCAAAUCUUUUUGGAAAGCUUAAAUUCAAGUGCAGUAGUGAACUGACCGGGGUUUGUAGCUCUUAGGAGGUUAAGACUCAUCUGUGGCAACCUAGUCCUUAACAGUCAUACGACCACAGUAUGCUUUUGUUGUAUGAAAGCCUGGAUAGGAACAGAAAGAAGUCUGUGGUCAGUUACUUUAGAUGGCUUUGUUUCCUUGAACCUGGGGUAGGGGGCAGACAGCGGCUGUUGACUCUGUCAACAUUGUCUGCUGAGGGCGGUGAAUGUGAAUGUCUGUGAGGGUAGUGUGAGUCACCCAAGUGUGUGCAUACCCAGUUCAUCCUGUAGGAAGCGAAUGUCUUCUUCAUUCUCUGUGUUGCAAUAAUCAGCCCCAGCAUUUGGUCUGGGAUGAUAACGUGUAUGAUGGUGACGUCUUCGCUUGUCCGGUUCCCACAGAGUACUCCACACGUUUCUAUGUCACUGAUAGUAUUAGCAUCAUUGAACUGGGGAAACUUGGUGUCGAUCAAGGUACCAUACACAGAGUGUGAGCCACUUCUGUCACUCAGCACUCGAGGUCUCAAAGGCCUGUCCGGGACUGCUGACUUAGCUAGCCUUCUGGCUGUGUUACAGUCUGAAGCCUGCAGAUAGCACAUGGGUUGUGAAUGCUUAUCAGAGGCUUUUCUAAGACAGGCCCAGCAGCCUCUGGGUCUGGUCCCACUUUGCUAAACUCUUGCACAAUUUUUAGUCACUCUUUUCCCAGUCCCUGGUUCUGGAUCAUCUCCUCAAAGGCAUGGAACUGUUUCUGUUCUACCCAGUGUGGCUUUUGCUCUCUUUCCCCGGCGCUCGAAGGAUGGCCAUGUGCUGCCCAUGCCUUGGGAGCAUUCCAAAUCUUCCACCUUCUCUUUAUAGUUUCCGUCUUCUUUGAUGUGUUUCUCCAAACCCGCCUCAGGCCCCUCUGCCUAGGAAAAGCAGUCGGUAAUUUCUUGACUGUCAGGAACGACGGCUAUGUUUGAUCUUGAUAUCCAGGGACUUGGUGCAUGAAGGACUUGAUGUACUUGCUGUAGAGGAUAAAGGCAUGUCCAGGGUUGCUUGCUUGAGUAAACGGAGGCUGUGUAGAUGACUCGCUCCAGAGGGGUGUUCUGACAGGGUGGAGUAUUGAAUCCCACGGCAUCUGCAAGCUGGGGAGGAGCUUCACCCUGGCUUUGGGUGGAAGGGUGAUAUUUCCAUGGUCAGGCAGCAGACACAAAAAGCCUCUGAUUCAGAUUUCUGCCUUCAGAAUACAGCCACAUUGGAAGACUGUUGUUCUGAGCUCCAUCUUGUUUGAAGACGGGUAUCUCCCGACACAGAGAAGAGGUAAUAAUGUCAGUCACAGCUACAAGGGAUUAAGAAUGCAGUGAUAUGGUUUGCCUGAGUUGCUGGAGCUGAAUGCCAUGUGUGUCCAAUAUGGAGACUAGUCACUGGUCACUUGGGGUUAUCCAGCGCCAUUAUGGAUGAUUCCAUGGGAGCUCCGAAGUUCUAACGGGCGCCGCUAGGCUUGGGGGGAGGAUGGUGUCUGUCAUAAAGCAGGCGGUAGCUAAUAGGAAGGCCAGGCAUCUAGCCAGAAGAUGGGGUGGGUGGAGAGGCUGGCAGGAGGGCGACAGCAGCCCUGACUGGCUGAGUCUGGGCGGGUGGAAGCCUGCAAGGCAGGCGUGUCAAGUCUUCUUUCCUCUGGGUCCUAGCUUAGGGAGAUCGUCUCAGUGUUUUUUAUAAGUGUUCAUUAACAAAAUUACCUAAUAAUUUGCAGGUGAUAUUUUCAUGUGGGUCCCCAAAUAGGGGAAAGAUGAUAAGGAGCAGUACAGCCGUAGGAACCCAGUGCUAAGUGUGGGCUGAGGGGCUGAGGCAGGAGGUCCUUCAGGGAACUGUGAUGCUCUAAGGAGAGUAGGAGAGGAGGUACUUGAACUGAGUCUUGGAAGAUGAUAGGUGUUUCCCAGUGCACAAGGCGAGGGAGUGCAUGGGUAGGCCAGAGCACAGCAUUGCAUGUGCUUGGCUAUUUAAAGAAAUAGAAAAUUCUUCACUCUCCUCUCUCCUUUGAAGCGGAUUCUCUUUAUUUUCAGUAUCAAAGACUUUUACCCUUUGAAGUCUGAAACUUGGGAAAGAUUCUACAGGCUUCCUUCCACUUUCUGAUUGAAUUUUGAGGCCCUUUCCACAGAAGGGGGUGCACAUUUAAUACUACAAACCUGGUCAGAAACUCCCGGCUCAGGAGACCAUAGACAUGGGUGGGGGAAAUCACUUCUGAUGUUUGUAUAAUCUGUGCCCACCAAGUGCCUUCCACGUGUUGUGGCCAUGCCCACAGCGCCAUGCUGCUGCUUGCUCUGCUCCUAGAACCUUCUCCUGGCUCAGUGAAUAGGCUCUCACAAAAUUGGUCAAGAAUCAGAAAUGAGUUGGCGUGCUCGGUCCUAAGUGGGGCAUCUCUAUGACCCCUUCCAAGGUUCAUGAGAGGGGACGGAAAGAAUGUAUGAGCCAGAGGGAGGGUUAGAGGACGUGGGUACCUCGGGAGGGUUAGAGGACGUGGGGUACCUCGGGAGGGUUAGAGGACGUGGGUACCGCGGGAGGGUUAGAGGACGUGGGUACCGCGGUCUUCUGAGCAUUACAUGGCUGUUGCCCUUUCUGACUUCCGGCGGCUCUGAUUACCUACACAAACCCAGUGUAGGAUUCGGCUCACCAGCCUUCUAUCUCAGAGCAGGGAGCAUCUCUGCCUCUUCUGAGGACUUGUAGGCAGUUAAAGGAGAGAGGGUCUCAGGCACAAUCUUUCCCUGAGGAUCUGUGAGCAAUUACUGGGGUCUGGGGAGAGUUAGAAAUAACUUUGUUUAGUGGUGUAGCUACUGGUAAGUUGUCCUGCUCCUUCAGUAGAUUCAUCAAGGGCAGAAGUGGGAGAAGCCAAGAGGGGGCCAUGGGGAUGAGUGGGUUAGAAUGUAUCAUAUACAUGAAUGGAGAAAGGGGCCAAGAGGGGGCCAUGGGGAUGAGUGGGUUAGAAUAUAUCAUAUACAUGAAUGGAGAAAGGGGCCAAGAGGGGGCCAUGGGGAUGAGUGGGGUCACAGUGUGUCAUAUGCAUGAAUGAAAUAGCAAGGUGAAAUCCACUGCUCUGUUAUUAGCAUAUUCCAUUAAUAAAAUGAAAUUAAACAACCAAGCAAACAACUUGGAGUAUUAAGAGAGUACCUCUAGGCCUUAGUCCUUUCAAAUUUGGAGAAAUCUAUUAAAAUAGGGUAAGAUACUAGGGAUGUAGCUCAGUAAGAGAAUGUUUAUCCAGCAUGUGCAAACCUGAGGACAGCCUCAAAACGUAAAUAAUUGCUUUAAGUGGCAGAUCUGGUUACAUGUUACAUCUAGACAGUGAAAUGUACAGCAAAGUCCUUGGAAGAGCAUGAACAUUGUCUGAUACACCAUCUGGAUAUGUUACUUUUUUGAUGUCUCUCCUUAUUUGCACUUACGUAUGAAUAUAUGUAUGCACUCACACAGGGAUAAAUAAAUGCACGUGUAAUAUAUAUA